rnacentral:lncRNA from 1 species
CUUGUAAUAUGCAUCCACGCGUAACCAUCUGCAUCUUCACAACACAUCAAUUGCUUGUAUAUUCACAGGUGGUGAUUGACUGAUUCGUGCAUGUCCAUGCAAUUUGGCGCAUUCAGCUGCGUGCUUGCGGAUGUGGAUGUAUUUCACAGAAGCAGCAGCAGCCUGCCUUCCCUUCCCUGGAUUCCAUCUGCUGUGCGAAACAAGAUCUGCAGUCAUUCCCAGCAAGUGACCAUAUUUCAUCUCCACCGAGACACAAUGAAAGAAAUUUCCAAGCAAAUUUGUUGCCUAAUGAUUCCAGAGAAGGUGCCUAGAACCAUAAAUGUCUUCUUGAAAAUCUGUAGAGGAGCCUAGCUCUGUAAACUUUUUAAAAUUAGCACAUAGUAAAUGUACAAUUCUUGUGCUGGGUCAAUACCCGAAAUGAAGGUGAUAAUGGCAUCAGGGCUGCCAGAAUAAGCAUCAUUCCAGCACAAAAGCUAUCAGCCUUGGAAAAUUGACUGGAAGGUUUCCAAAGACAUCAGCAAGGGCAAGGUUGAAAUUACAUGGCAAUUUCUCAAACAUGAACCCGUGGGACUUCUAAGUGUCUUAGGAAACUACUAAGCUGGGAAAACAUGCUUGGACUUUUAAUCAAACUCUUCCUGGUGACUUGUACAGUCAUUGUUGGGCCUAUUUCUCCAUUUGUAACAUAGAAAAGAAAUCAUCCUGGUCCCAGACAUUUUUUUGUUCUCCCAAGGAAGGAAGAUGACUGAAUUUCAUAAAAAUAUUUGAACAUUUAGAACUAAACAACUUGUUCAUGUAAUUAAUGUGCAGCUGUUGAGCACCUACUGUUUGUCAGAAGUAUGUGAUAACCAAACAUGACUGACUCCUGCUCUUAAGGCACUAAGUCUAGUAGGGAAGACCACUAUUAAAUGAGUACUUGCACAAAUAAUGAGCAUUUAAUUUUGAAUUAGUUAAGUGCUCUGAAGGGAGAGUGUAGAAUACUAUGGGAGGUAUGAGAAAUGAUCUAAUUUGAAUUGGAGGAUUGGGAAGCAGAAAGUGAGGAGGAGGACUUUGAAGGGAAGGAAACAGCAUGUGCAAAGGCCCUGAAUUGACAAGCUGAAAACCACAGAAAUAAAGUGAGCUGAAGUGAGCACAAUGUGAGAAAACACUGGAUUGACAGGUGGCUCCCAAUAUGUGGACCUUGGAUGCCAUGCCAAGAAGUUUAGCUUCUAACUUAAGUACAAUAAGAAUGCAAUGCAGCAUUUUAGGCAAGGAAGUGGCAUAUCCUUUUAGAACCUUAGUUAGACAGGGUUCAUAGUGAAGGAGUAAGAACAGUAACUGAAGAUGUUGAAAGGUCACGG